UCUUCAAUAGCUUAGUGGUUAAAGCAUUCGGCUGUUAACCGAAAUAUCGUUGGUUCAAAUCCAACUUGAAGAG
rnacentral:tRNA from 1 species